GUGAAUUUCUUCGGAGUAAGAAAUCCUCAGAGGAAAUUACCCAGUAUAUUCAAAGCUACAAGGGAUUUGUUGACAUAACGGGAGAACAUUUUGUGAAUUCCUGGGUCCAGAGAGAAUUACCUAUGGCAUCAGCUUAUUGCAAUGACAGCAUCUUUGCUUACGAAGAACUACGGCUGGACUCUUUUAAGGACUGGCCCCGGGAAUCAGCUGUGGGAGUUGCAGCACUGGCCAAAGCAGGUCUUUUCUACACAGGUAUAAAGGACAUCGUCCAGUGCUUUUCCUGUGGAGGGUGUUUAGAGAAAUGGCAGGAAGGUGAUGACCCAUUAG
rnacentral:lncRNA from 1 species